AGCGAACGCUGGCGGCAGGCUUAACACAUGCAAGUCGAACGCACUCUUCGGAGUGAGUGGCAGACGGGUGAGUAACACGUGGGAACGUGCCCUUCGAUUCGGAAUAACUCAGGGAAACUUGAGCUAAUACCGGAUACGCCCUUCGGGGGAAAGAUUUAUCGUCGAAGGAUCGGCCCGCGUCUGAUUAGCUUGUUGGUGGGGUAAUGGCCUACCAAGGCGACGAUCAGUAGCUGGUCUGAGAGGAUGAUCAGCCACACUGGGACUGAGACACGGCCCAGACUCCUACGGGAGGCAGCAGUGGGGAAUAUUGGACAAUGGGCGAAAGCCUGAUCCAGCCAUGCCGCGUGAGUGAUGAAGGCCUUAGGGUUGUAAAGCUCUUUUAUCCGGGAAGAUAAUGACUGUACCGGAAGAAUAAGCCCCGGCUAACUUCGUGCCAGCCGCCGCCGUAACAC
rnacentral:rRNA from 1 species